rnacentral:rRNA from 1 species
GCUCCAAUAGCGUAUAUUAAAGUUGUUGCAGUUAAAAAGCUCGUAGUUGGAUUUCUGGCAGGGAGUAGAUGCCGUGUGAUACGUGCGCAGAUACCCCCUGCCAUCCUUCUGUUAACCUCCAGAUCUUAACUGCUCUGUUGGGAGCCAGAUAUUUUACCUUGAGAAAAUUAGAGUGUUUCAGGCAGCUAGCGCCGGAAUAC